rnacentral:rRNA from 1 species
GACGAACGCUGGCGGCGUGCCUAAUACAUGCAAGUAGAACGCUGAAGGAGGAGCUUGCUUCUCUGGAUGAGUUGCGAACGGGUGAGUAACGCGUAGGUAACCUGCCUGGUAGCGGGGGAUAACUAUUGGAAACGAUAGCUAAUACCGCAUAACAGUAGAUAUCGCAUGAUAUCUACUUGAAAGGUGCAAUUGCAUCACUACCAGAUGGACCUGCGUUGUAUUAGCUAGUUGGUGAGGUAACGGCUCACCAAGGCGACGAUACAUAGCCGACCUGAGAGGGGGAUCGGCCACACUGGGACUGAGACACGGCCCAGACUCCCACGGGGGGCAGCAGUAGGGAAUCUUCGGCAAUGGACGGAAGUCUGACCGAGCAACGCCGCGGGAGUGAAGAAGGUUUUCGGAUCGUAAAGCUCUGUUGUAAGAGAAGAACGAGUGUGAGAGUGGAAAGUUCACACUGUGACGGUAUCUUACCAGAAAGGGACGGCUAACUACGUG